CAAUCGAACCCGGAGAUAGCUGGUUCUCCCCGAAAUAGCUUUAGGGCUAGCGUCGCAGCGAGAGAGCCGUGAAGGUAGAGCACUGAAUAUGCGAUGGCCGCAUCCCGCGGUACUGAGCAUAAUCAAACUCCGAAUGUCACGGUGUCAUCUGCGGCAGUCAGACGGCGAGUGAUAAGGUCCGUCGUCAAGAGGGAAACAGCCCAGACCAUCAGCUAAGGUCCCAAAGUGCAUGCUAAGUGGAAAAGGAAGUGGAGACGUGCAGACAACUAGGAGGUUGGCUCAGAAGCAGCCAUCCUUCAAAGAGUGCGUAACAGCUCACUAGUCGAAUGACUCUGCGCCGAUAAUUUACCGGGGCUAAGCAUGACACCGAAGCUAUGGACAGGAAUGUGGUAGGGGAGCAUUGCAUGCAGCGGAGAAGCAUGACCGAGAGGGCAUGUGGAGCGCAUGGAAGAGAGAAUGCCGGCGUGAGUAGCGGCACGUGGGUGAGAAUCCCACGCACCGAUGGCCCAAGGUCUCCAGAGGAAGGCUCGUCCUCUCUGGGAUAGUCGGGACCUAAGGCGAGGCCGAAAGGCGUAGCCGAUGGACGACGGGUGGAUAUUCCCGUACCCGAUGUGUGGCGAUGGAGUGACGGAGAAGGCUCAGGCAACCAGCUGCUGGAAUAGCUGGGGCAAGCGAGAUACCUGCGCACCAGGGAAAUCCGGUGCGCGCAGGGGGAAGGCGCGAAGCAUACGGAAAGCUGCGGCAAGUACGGAAAAGCUGAGAGCAGGCUUCCAGGAAAAGCUUCUAGCACAACACACAUCGGCCCGUACCGAAAAUGGACACACAUGGGCAAGGAGAGAAUCCUGAGGUGAGCGAGAGAACUAUAGCUAAGGAACUCUGCAAAAUGACCCCGUAACUUAGGGAGAAGGGGUGCUCCAGAAAUGGAGCCGCAGUAAAACGGCCCAAGCGACUGUUUACCAAAAACACAGCUCUCUGCGAAGGCGCAAGCCGAAGUAUAGGGGGUGACGCCUGCCCGGUGCUGGAAGGUCAAGGGGAGCUGUCAGCGCAAGCGAAGCAGCGAGCCGAAGCCCCAGUAAACGGCGGCCGUAACUAUAACGGUCCUAAGGUAGCGAAAUUCCUUGUCGGGCAAGUUCCGACCUGCACGAAUGGUGUAACCAUGGCCACGCUGUCUCCACCCGGGACCCAGUGAAACCGAAAUCGCUGUGAAGAUGCAGUGUACCCGCGGCUAGACGGAAAGACCCCGUGAACCUUUACUGCAGCUUGACACUGAACCUUGAACCUGUUUGUGCAGGAUAGGCGGGAGACUUUGAAGUAGAGACGCCAGUCUUUAUGGAGUCGACCUUGAAAUACCGCCCUGAUAUGUUUGAGGUUCUAACUUGAAGGUAACAGCCUUAAGGACAGUGUCUGGUGGGAAGUUUGACUGGGGCGGUCUCCUCCCAAAGAGUAACGGAGGAGCACGAAGGUCGGCUGAUCACGGUCGGAAACCGUGAGGUCAGUGCAAUGGCAAAAGCCGGCUUGACUGCGAGAGCAACAACUCGAGCAGGUGCGAAAGCAGGUCAUAGUGAUCCGGUGGUUCCAUAUGGACGGGCCAUCGCUCAACGGAUAAAAGGUACUCUGGGGAUAACAGGCUGAUACCGCCCAAGAGUUCAUAUCGACGGCGGUGUUUGGCACCUCGAUGUCGGCUCAUC
rnacentral:rRNA from 1 species